GAAGGGAACACAGGCAGGUAGCGGCUCAACCCAGGCCCAACCUAGGAGAACUCACCAACACCCCAAUCUACGAAACGAAGACACUGCCCCAACUGUGGUCCUCAGAAGUGAUAUCACAGCCCCACCUGCUCACACACCGAGCUCAGCCAACACGUGCGGGUAUCUUAGAGAUAAGCCCCAGAAGAACAACUAGAACGAUUAUCAGCAAAACCUUAACUACAGAACUAGACGUAGCAGAGGAACAAAGGAUGCCUCGGCAAAGCAUCCAUGGGACAGACGGCCACUCCGGACCAUCGUGGGCACUAUGACCACACGCUGAUAACUCAGUCAGCUGGUCUAAGAGGGCAACAGCACAGGUAAGGUGACAAGCACUGUUCUGUGUAAGAACUUACUGUGGUUUUUCGUUUGUUUGUUUUUCACAUCCGAGAAUUUUAUUGGACAUGGCUCUGGGCCUGGCAGGCCCGGCUCAUGGCCCCCCAGCUAGGGCUGGAGGACAGUGGUUCCAUACAAAACAAUCUCAGAGCACACAGUCACCCCACAAAGCGACACUCUAAAGAUUAUUAUACCUGGGAGACAGGAGGGCUGCUCCACAGAUGUGCAAACAGGUCAAAUCUUUAUAAAUAAACAUACA